rnacentral:rRNA from 1 species
UAAGACAGAGGUGCCGAGCGUUAGGCGGAAUCACUGGGCUUAAAGCGUGUGUAGGCGGGCCCGUAAGUACCUUGUGAAAUCCCACCGCUCAACGGUGGAACUGCUCGGUAUACUGCGGGUCUUGAGCCACCUAGGGGCAGCCGGAACAAGCGGUGGAGCGGUGAAAUGCGUAGAUAUCGCUUGGAACGCCAACGGUGAAAACAGACUGCUGGGGGUGUGCUGACGCUGAGACACGAAAGCCAGGGGAGCGAACGGGAUUAGAUACCCCGGUAGUCCUGGCCGUAAACGAUGUCGACUAGAUCGCAGCCGCUCUGACGCGGUUGCGGUCGAAGCAAAAGUGCUAAGUCGACCGCCUGGGAAGUACGGUCGCAAGGCUA